UUGAACAUAAGACAUUAUCAUUUUCAAGACUUUUAAUUUUAUUAUUUCAACCAAAACCUUAUUUGUUCUUAGCAUUGAUAUUUUAUAAAUAUAUUUUGUAUAUUAUUUUUUCGCCCUAGACCUAUCAAUUCUUACUCAAGCCUGAAAGUUGACCCAAUCAACUUGUACCCAAACCUGAUCCAACUUGAUUUGACCAUAAAAUGUCAACAACCCGAACUUGUCCAAUUCGAAUUCAAAUAUGCCCAAAUCUAAAAUUGUCCCAACCUAGAAUGAUUUAAAUAAAUAACUUAAAGUGACACAAACUUAAAUUAAGCAUAAUUUUUUAAAAUAAUAAUACAUAUAACCUAAAUUUGAAAUUUAUUUUAAUUUAUAGCUUCUAAAUUAUAAUCAUCAUGGUUUAUUGUCAUAGAAUUUGCAAUAACUCAAAAAAAAUAUUUGAAUUUAAUUUUAUUCGAGUUCAAAGUCUUUAAAAAUUUUGGACCUUAUUUCAUUUUAUCUUGAUUUGGGUUUAUUUGAAAAUCCUAAAAAUAUUUUUGAUUAAAAUUUCUUACAGUUUUUAC
rnacentral:lncRNA from 1 species